UGGGGGAUAUUGCACAAUGGGGGAAACCCUGAUGCAGCAACGCCGCGUGAAGGAUGAAGGUUUUCGGAUUGUAAACUUCUGUUCUUAGUGACGAUAAUGACGGUAGCUAAGAAGAAAGCUCCGGCUAACUACGUGCCAGCAGCCGCGGUAAUACGUAGGGAGCGAGCGUUGUCCGGAUUUACUGGGUGUAAAGGGUGCGUAGGCGGCAGAGCAAGUCAGGCGUGAAAGCCAUGGGCUUAACCCAUGAACUGCGCUUGAAACUGUUCUGCUUGAGUGAAGUAGAGGCAGGCGGAAUUCCCGGUGUAGCGGUGAAAUGCGUAGAGAUCGGGAGGAACACCAGUGGCGAAGGCGGCCUGCUGGGCUUUAACUGACGCUGAGGCACGAAAGCAUGGGUAGCAAACA
rnacentral:rRNA from 1 species